GCUGCUGGCUGGCUGCCGCCGCCGGCGGACGAAGCAAAACUUAAUUCUGAUGGUGCCAUCAGCCGGGAUGGUCGACGCGGUGCAGUGGCAGCAAUUUGCAGGGACAAAAACGGCAAGUAUAUGGGAGCUUCUGCAGUAGUUUACGAAGGCUUGGUAGACCCAGCGAGCUUGGAGGCCCAGGCAUGCAAUGAAGCUCUUUCGCUCGCAGCAGAUCUUCUGCAGUCGUCCAUCUUCGUCGUGUCUGAUUGUUUGGAAGUCAUCAACAACAUAAACUCUCCAACUGCCUGCCAUUAUGCUGCUGUUCUGCGGGAAAUUGAUCACCGGAGGAUCUCAUUUCACAAGGCGAUCUUCGGGCAUGAGCGUCGUAAACAUAAUGCGGAGGCUCAUGCUCUUGCUAAAGCAUCUACAACUCUAGCCACUGGGCGCCAUGUUUGGCUGAUUUCUGUACCUGAUAUUACUUGUAUUCCUGAGAACGUUACUAUAAUUCAAUAA
rnacentral:rRNA from 1 species